UACGUGGGGGGCAAGCGUUGUUCGGAAUUACUGGGCGUAAAGGGCGCGUAGGCGGAUUGGUAAGUUGGAUGUGAAAGCCCGGGGCUUAACCUCGGAAUUGCUUUCAAAACUGCCAGUCUUGAGUGAAGUAGGGGAUGAUGGAAUUCCUAGUGUAGAGGUGAAAUUCUUAGAUAUUAGGAGGAACACCGGUGGCGAAGGCGGUCAUCUGGGCUUCUACUGACGCUGAGGCGCGAAAGCGUGGGGAGCAAACAGG
rnacentral:rRNA from 1 species